GACGAACGCUGGCGGCGUGCCUAAUACAUGCAAGUCGAGCGGAAGUUGAAGAGCUUGCUCUUCAACUUUAGCGGCGGACGGGUGAGUAACACGUGGGCAACCUGCCCUGCAGAUCGGGAUAACUCCGGGAAACCGGUGCUAAUACCGAAUAGUUUUCGCCACCUCCUGGUGGCGUACGGAAAGACGGUUUCGGCUGUCACUGCAGGAUGGGCCCGCGGCGCAUUAGCUAGUUGGGGGGGUAACGGCCCACCAAGGCAACGAUGCGUAGCCGACCUGAGAGGGUGAUCGGCCACACUGGGACUGAGACACGGCCCAGACUCCUACGGGAGGCAGCAGUAGGGAAUCUUCCGCAAUGGACGAAAGUCUGACGGAGCAACGCCGCGUGAGUGACGAAGGUUUUCGGAUCGUAAAACUCUGUUGUGAGGGAAGAACAAGUACCACUUAACUACUGGUACCUUGACGGUACCUCACCAGAAAGCCACGGCUAACUACGUGCCAGCCGCCGCGGUAAGAC
rnacentral:rRNA from 1 species